AACCGCACGACCCAUUUACCUUCGUUUUGCCCUCCUUCCCUCUUGCAUCAUCCUCUCCGCCCUCCUCCCCUCUUUUAUUGCCUCCCGAUCGUUCUGUAUCUCCCCUUUUCCUCCCCCACUCUGCUCCUUUGCGCCCUUUUCUUCUAUGUAGUGCCGCAUUGAGGUCGCACGCCAAUCUCCGGAACGCCCCUGGUGAGACCGCGGCAGAAGUUCCUACAUCUGGUGUGGCCGUCUUCAAGCCGAGAUCUUAUGAAGUUCUCAUCUCUGACGCCGCCAGAUCCCUCGUGUGUUCUCUGGACGAUGACAAGACCAGUCUCGAAAUCGAUUUACCGCCUUUGCCAAGCAACAUUUCACCUUAUAAGGAUUAUUCAGGUGAAUUUGUUGAUGCAAACAUCCAACUUGCACUUGUGUCACGAGUUCCUCUGAUGGCAGUUGUAUAAAUGAUUGUCCUGGCUAGCAAUAAGGCUGAUGGUCCAUAAGGGUGUUUUGAUAAGGGAUUUUUGGUUUAAGUUUUAAAGGAGUUUUGGGAGAAAAAAAAAAGUACUGACCUCUUUUUUGCUAGGAAACUUCAAGAGAUGAAAGAGAUCAGAUCUUGCAUUGUAAGUUUGAGUUUUCUUUAACAUUCUGCCAUGUGAGAGAUAUGAUCUAACAUUUCAUGGUAAGCAUGUCAAAAUGCCUAUAUUUAUAUUAAAUAGCAGUUUUUCUUUUUGAAUAGGCACAUACAUAGUUAUUUUCUUAGGCAUAUUUUUUUAUUAUAACAAUCAAUUGAUUUUCAAUUCAUGGUCCAACAUCCAAAUGCUCAAAAAAGUAUAUUUCUCUAUCAAGAUUCCAAUCCUGAUGGCAUAGCACUUUGGUGCUAUCAAGUUAUCCCAUACUAAGUAAAGCAUUGUGCAAACAAGAUGUGAUGGAUGCUAGCAACAUGAUAAAGUGGUAUUGAUCCACUACCUAUUUGCUUUAUUGUUCUGAAGUAGGCAUGAUGGAUUAUUGGGGUUGAGUCUGUUGACAUACUAAUUGACCUCUUUGUCAGCAAAACGCGUGCAACAUGGGGUUAGCAGUGUGACCCCUACUGUUUACAAAUAGAUCUAGGAACAUGGGGUUAGUGACUCUGUCCUGUCUUCUACUUACUAGCAGCGUGAAUGGUAACAUUCAUCCAACAAUCUAAGUCUAAUUGGCUUUUCUUCUCCAUGGGCAGUUCCCUUGUAAAAUCAAGUCUUCUGUUUACCAAGCUCAGUGUCAAUUCUAGCACAUUCUGUAACAUUCAUUAAAGCCAUGUAUGCCGAAUUGUUGAUGAUUCACACAUGCUGAAACAUGGCUCACCCGUUGUCCUUCCUACUGUUUUGGAGAAUGUGUUUCAGUUUUUGAAUAGACACCAAUAGUACUUUGAUGUUUCAUUUUUUCAUAUUAUAACCAAUGAAUUUUGGUUGAAGAAUUUCAGAUGUUCCCUAACCAAGCAGAAAAACAUAGGGCUUCAGUUAUUUCGAGCAACUCUUGAUACAGUAUGCUCAGAAUAAAUGAAACAUCGCUAUCUUAAAUUUUUUACCUUUCAUAGAAUUACCUGUGUGAAGGAAAAAUCUGGUGCUAUGUCACAAGUAGUAUAUGCUUUGAGAAGCACACUGCUUAACAAAUGGCAUUCUUUUCCUAUAUUAGAUUGCUGGUGUAACCAUUGGAUCAUCACAUGACCUACCAACUGGACCUGUCAGAAGCCUCUUCAAAUCCAAGGAGCACAUUGGAUUUUAAGUUCAGUGAUGGUACGCGUUAGGUAAGGUUGAUCGUUUUGCUCAUGAGUGCAGGUCAACAAAAGUAUAGCGAACCACCACAUCUUUAUAUAUAUGUAUCAACUGCAGUACACGUGAUCUUUCUGCUAUAGAGAAAUAGGUGGUAUGUUCUAACUAAUGGUGUGUUUUAUCUACUUAAUCUUGAUUGGUUGAUUUGUUCAGACUAAAUGCUGGUUGUAUCUUGAACAACUUUACAUUGUAGCUGCAAUCCUAUAUUUAUUUAUUA